rnacentral:rRNA from 1 species
CGGAUGCAGGCUGCAACUCGCCUGCAUGAAGUCGGAAUUGCUAGUAAUCGCGGAUCAGCAUGCCGCGGUGAAUACGUUCUCGGGCCUUGUACACACCGCCCGUCACACCAUGGGAGCCGGGAACACCCGAAGUCCGUAGUCUAACCGCAAGGAGGACGCGGCCGAAGGUGGGUUUGGUAAUUGGGGUGAAGUCGUAACAAGGUACC